rnacentral:lncRNA from 8 species
AUGGGGCUCAUAUUCAGCUGGCUGAGGGGGCCAAGGCCCCUAGACUCCACACCCCUACUGGACGUCACCGUAGAGACACAGGCCAUACCCAUUCCUGAGGCCCCUGUGUCAGCUCUUGCUGAAUUUAAGGUCCAGGUCGAAAACUACGUAGCCAUUACCACAGAGAUCGCACAGACUCAUGACGAGCCGUGGCUCGAGGCUGAAGUGGAGGCUGAAAUAGUUGACGAGGUCCAAGCGAAAGUAGAGGCAGUAGUUGAGGAAGAACCAGAGCCCGAUCCCGUGGUCAAGGCCGAAGCUGCCCCAGUUGUAGAAGCUGAACUUGAAGAGUCGGGAAUCAAAGACGGAGACAAUCCUAUCGUCAAAGCUGAAGCCAUUCCUGAAGAUAUUGAUGUAGAAAAGCAUGAGACUGUUAUGACAGAGGCACCUGAAGAGGUUCCAGUGGAGACAGAAAUUAUCCCAGAAAAGCUGUGGAAGCCCGUGGAAGCACCGGUCGAAGAAGCCCCCGUAGCCGAGGUCGCUCCAGCAGAGCUCCUUGUAGAGGCCCCAGUAGACCCUGUCAUCAACAUAAUGGCUGACUUUGCCAUCACAGAAUCUGUUCCCGUUGCGGAGGCAGCCAUGGCUGAACAGGUGCCCGCAGUCCCAACGGAUUCACUUGACGCCCUAUCGGAGUUGCUGAACGACGUCACUCUAGUCACUGAGCCCGCCCCUGUCACAGCUGAUAAAGUCAUUGACGUGAGUCUCCUACAUUUCUCUAUGCAGAGAUGCUUUAGUAGAGCAGAUGUGACACACAAAACACACUCCUGUAACUCUGUUGUCUGGUUGGUCUCAGGAGCCAGAGUGUGA